GACGAACGCUGGCGGCGUGCCUAAUACAUGCAAGUCGAGCGGACGGAUGGGAGCUUGCUCCCAGACCGUCAGCGGCGGACGGGUGAGUAACACGUGGGCAACCUGCCUGUAAGACUGGGAUAACUCCGGGAAACCGGGGCUAAUACCGGAUAACUCUUUCCCUCACAUGAGGGAAAGCUGAAAGAUGGCAUCUCGCUAUCACUUACAGAUGGGCCCGCGGCGCAUUAGCUAGUUGGUGAGGCAACGGCUCACCAAGGCGACGAUGCGUAGCCGACCUGAGAGGGGGGUCGGGCCCACUGGGGCUGGGACACGGGCCCGACUCCUACGGGAGGCAGGAGUAGGGAAUCUUCCGCAAUGGGCGAAAGUCUGACGGAGCAACGCCGCGUGAGUGAUGAAGGUUUUCGGAUCGUAAAACUCUGUUGUCAGGGAAGAACAAGUACCGGAGUAACUGCCGGUACCUUGACGGUACCUGACCAGAAAGCCACGGCUAACUACGUG
rnacentral:rRNA from 1 species